rnacentral:rRNA from 1 species
UACAGAGGUCUCAAGCGUUGUUCGGAUUCAUUGGGCGUAAAGGGUGCGUAGGCGGCGCGGUAAGUCGGGUGUGAAAUCUCGGAGCUUAACUCCGAAACUGCAUUCGAUACUGCCGUGCUUGAGGACUGGAGAGGAGACUGGAAUUUACGGUGUAGCGGUGAAAUGCGUAGAGAUCGGGAAGAACAUCGGUGGCGAAAGCGCUCUGCUGGACUGCAACUGACACUCAGGGACGAAAGCUAGGGGAGCGAAUGGG